UCCUCUACAACCGCACAAAAAAGGUUUCAAAAAUAUUUCAAAUAUUACCUUAAUGGCGAGUCUUAGAUUACA
rnacentral:sRNA from 1 species